CCUAUUGAAAAUGUUGUGCUCAAUUUUGCCAACCCUGAUGAAAAGAAAUACAUAUUUUUUGUAUGUAAUCAAAGUAUGUACCUCUGCAUGUACUAAUUUGGGUCCACAGUUGCAUACAUAAGUAUGCAAUAAAGGUACACACUGAAAAUACAUGCCAAAAAUACAUAUCUCGAUUGUGUGACGUUAUACUUUAAUUUGUUUAAAUAAUUUACAUCAAUAUGACAAUUAACAUAGACAUAUGACCUGUUUUUGGUGUUACUAUCCGCAUGAUACUUCGAUUAAUGUGCACUAGAUGUGUAAAAAGUUGUAUUUAUUAAGACUUUUUAAUUAUUUUAAUUUAACAGGACUUAAAAUUGAUAUGUAUUUUCAUUUUGUACCCUUAUUCCAUACUGUUGUAUGCAACUGUAGUCCCAAAUUUAUACAUGUAGAGGAAAACUAUGCCAUACUAUACUGUGUGUAUACCGAUUCUAACAUUUGGUAUGACUUGUUAAAAAAAAGUUAAUAAAAGUGUGUUCUAGUGGUAGAGUUAUGUAUUCAGCUAUAA